UUGGAGGGCAAGUCUGGUGCCAGCAGCCGCGGUAAUUCCAGCUCCAAUAGCGUAUAUUAAAGUUGUUGCAGUUAAAAAGCUCGUAGUUGAAUUUCGGGGUUCUACCGUUGGCCGGGCAAUAGUCUGUACUGGCGUGUAGAAUUUCUACCUUCUGGGGAACCAUCAUGUUAUUUAUUUAGCGUGGUGGGAAACCAGGACCUUUACCUUGAAAAAAUUAGAGUGUUCAAAGCGGGCUUACGUCUGAAUACAUUAGCAUGGAAUAAUAAAAUAGGACGGUGGUCCUGUUUUGUUGGUUUCUGAAUCACCGUAAUGAUUAAUAGGGAUAGUUGGGGGCAUUAGUAUUCAAUCGUCAGAGGUGAAAUUCUUGGAUUUAUUGAAGACUAACUUCUGCGAAAGCAUUUGCCAAGGAUGUUUUCAUUAAUCAAGAACGAAAGUUAGGGGAUCGAAGACGAUCAGAUACCGUCGUAGUCUUAACCAUAAACUAUGCCGACUAGGGAUCGGACGAUGUUAAUCUUUCUUGACUCGUUCGGCGCCUUACGGGAAAC
rnacentral:rRNA from 1 species